ensembl:lncRNA
UGUCUGAAACUGUUGUCCUCCAUCUUCAUUUUCAAAUGGAAAGAGAGUUUCUUGGAAUCUCUGCUAAUCGUCUCAAUGGAAUAAGAUGAGCAAACUGUUCGAGCUGUUCUCCUGGAAGACCAUGUCUGAUAGCUGUCCCUCCCUGCCCUGGGGACACACCUCAGGUAAAGACUGGGCAAUAGAAGAAGCUUCCUGCAACCUCCUAAUACCCUGAAGAUUAACAUUUAUCAUGCUGAGAUUUGGGCAGCACCUCAUUAAGCCCUCCGUGGUCUUCCUGAAGACUGAGCUCUCCUUUGCUCUGGUGAACCGCAAGCCGGUGGUCCCAGGACGUAUCCUUCCAAGCAGCGCCUUGAUGAUGGGUGCCGGCGCUCUGGGGAAAACGGCAGAAGCUCGGUGCGCUUUGAAGGCCAGGGGCACUCACAGUACAAUUUUGAAGGUGUGCUACUCAUGUAUGUCCUCUAAAAGUGGAACUGCUUGUCCUCACAAGCUCCAGGGACACGCAGAAGAAAUUUUGAAACCUAGUCCAUGAGUCCCUUCAUUGUGGGGGGUUAAGUACAUUCUGCAUACUUACACUGUGCCCAUAAAGUAAAGAACACUGUGGAAAGCCUGUUCCUGUCAUCAUGAAAAAAUGUAAACCAUCUAAAUUUUAGAUCAGUUGACUGAUGAUGGCUAUAGAAGAUCAAAUUUCACAGAGACUGCCUACUGUCUUCCCAAUGUUGUGAUUUUUAUUUUUAUGACAUAAUUGUUGAGACCCUAUUUUGUAUGAAAGCAGC